CUGUUCUUUUUUCUUUCCGGUGCCGGACGCCCCCGUGGUCCGGAUAAUAGGGAAGUACGCGAAAACCGUACACUGUGCCCGCAACUGUAUGAUGGUUCGCCGUCAGCGAACAAGGCAGCUCUGCCGAAGUUUCCUGACGGUAUGCUUCAAUCCACUUCGCCGACCGCAAUACUUCCGCAGGAAGGGCGUGGGAAGGAUUGAGUGCCCGGAUUGCCCGCCCCCGUGGCAGGCUGAAAAUGCCGUCGAAAGUCAGGAAACCUGCCGGAUAAACGCUGUCGAG
rnacentral:ncRNA from 2 species